UGCUCCGAAGCAGUAGUUCAAGAAAAAUGCUGCUCCGAGUUCGAAGCUUGUGUCGGAGCAUCGGCGUCAGACGGUCAUCACUAAUUAGUAGGGUUAAAAAAAUAACUAAAUUUCAAGAUAUUUACAGAUAUGAAUUAAACCUGUUGUAAAGUUGCGCUUGUGAUAACGUCGUAAGUCACAUGAUAACGUCAACAUGGCGGAUUAUAUCCGGAUCACAUUCAUACUCAACGAGAUUAGUACCUGCUCUUUUAGGCUCGUAAAGUAAGUACUUACUGAAAUUAAGUACCUACUCAGUGAGUAGGCGAUUUCGGACGCAGCCAGUGUCUACAUAGACUUCACGCAGUGCGAGUGAUGUCAUUACGUCAUUUGCAGCGGACUGGUCGAAAGUCGAAGGGAAUCCAGUUUUAUUGCGCAUUACAGAUUUAUUGCAUUUAUUGCUGAGUUGGAGUUCGAGGGCUCAGGGCCGUAAUUAAGAUGGAGCAUGAAGAGACUGGACCUGCUAGUUUGGCAAACCCAACCCCACCCCUCAGACACCCCCCACACACACAUUCUUACUGAUUAAGCUUAAUUUAUAUAUGAAUGAGUUUUUUAAGUGUGCAGUUAUAUAAUUAUCUUUUGUAAUUAACAUUGUGUUCUUGGAAUGGCUGUAUCUUGUGUUAAUAAAAAAAAUAACGUUGAAAGGAUGGUUCAGGGACAUUAUUCUAACCUUAACAUAACAUUUUAACAUUAAAGAAUUUAACGUUCUUGGAUGUUACAAAUCAACGUUCUUUGAACGUUGUAUUGAUAAUAAAAUUUAGGUGGUGAGAACGUUGCAGGAACGUUAUGCUAACCUUAAAAUAACGUUUUGCUAACGUUAAAAAAACGACAUUUUAACGUUCUUGGAACGUUACAAAUCAACGUUCUUUGAACGUUGUAUUGAUAAUUAAAUUUAGGUGGUAAGAACGUUGCAGGAACGUUAUGCUAACCUUAAAAUAACGUUUUGCUAACAUUAAAAAAAACUGGACAUUUUAACGUUCUUGUAACGUUACAAAUAAACGUUCUUUUAACGUUACAAAUCAACAUUGAAGGAACGUUAUAAAUCAACGUUCUUUGAGCGUUGUAUUGGUGGUAAAAUUUAGGUGGAAAGAACGUUGCAGGAAUGUUAUGCUAACCUUAAGAUAACGUUCCAGCAACGUUAAGCAAACUGGACAUUUCCACGUUUUUAGAACAUUUCAAAUAACGUUCCCAAAACCAAAAGAGAGCGUUUGGAAAACGUUCUCAUAACAUAAUUUUGUUUGCUGGGGUGUAAGGGGCAGAGACUCGGGAGCAUUUUCACACACCGUUCUGAUUUCAUUCUGUAUCUGACAAUAUAGAGAUAGGACGUGUUUCACAGAGCAGUGUAAGAAAUAUUUAUUGUUAGAAAUGUUUUUGCUUUUUAAAAAAUCUUUUGUCUUUUAACUCCUAUUGUUUAAUAUACUUAAUGAUAAUGCAUUUGUUUGAUGCUUUUUGUUAAAAUCUUCUGUUUAAUUAAUUAAUUAAUGUCCUUUUUUAAAUAUACAUUCUAUCUUUCGGCAUUGAGGUGGGCCUGUUAGGGGCGGAUGACGUUGAUGGUUGGAGGAGUGUUAGGGGCGGAGACUCGGAAGCGUUUUCACAGACUAUUCUGACUUUAUUCUGAAUUUGACAGGGACGAGAUAGGACGUGUUUCACGGAUCAGUGUAAGAAAUAUUUAUUGUUAAAAAACUUUAAAAGUAGAUGUUAGAAAUGUUUUGCUUGAAAAACCCAUUUGUCUUGUAACAACUAUUGUUUAAUAUACUUAAUGUUAAUGCGUUUGUUUUAUACCUUUGUCCCAGAAAAUCUGAUAUCUGAUAACAUUUUAAAUUGUCUUUGUGAUUUAAUUGCACAAUUCAUUAAUGUCUUUUAAAAACAUUCUUUAAUAAAAAUAUCCCUUUUAAA